GACAGAGGGUGCUAGCGUUGUUCGGAAUUACUGGGCGUAAAGGGCGCGUAGGUGGCCUUCUAAGUUGAACGUGAAAUCCCUGGGCUCAACCCAGGAACUGCGUCCAAGACUGGGAGGCUUGAAUCCGGGAGAGGGAUGCGGAAUUCCAGGUGUAGCGGUGAAAUGCGUAGAUAUCUGGAGGAACACCGGUGGCGAAGGCGGCAUCCUGGACCGGUAUUGACACUGAGGCGCGAAAGCCAGGGGAGCAAACGGG
rnacentral:rRNA from 1 species